UGCAGGUCAGUAACAUGUCGUUACAGAUAUCUCACCCAUCCUAAGAAUUUGCUACCAGAGCAGCAGAGUGCAAAGUGCUACUGCCCAGUGAAAAAAUGAAGGCACAGGGAAGAGUAAGUGAUUUUUCUGGUGUCCUACAGUCAGUAAAGACAGUGUUGAUAGCAGUUUUGCACUCUGAGUACAUAGCAGCGUAUCUCUGAUUUGCCAGAUCCACUGAUUUUUCUAGCUCCUGCUGAUAUAUCAAAGGCUGGAAUUCUUGCUGGUGUUGCUGGUCCUAAACACAGCUAGCCUGGGAGUAAGAAAAAAGGCUUUCCAUGUUCCUGUGCUGUAGUACUCAGGUGAGGUGAGACAGAAAUAUUUUUGGAAGGUCAGUGUCCCCGGUUGCCCUGUGACAGUGUGAGAUGAGCAGCCCCAUGUAAACGUGUGCCUCAGCCUAGGAGAUAUGAGAAGGGCUCUGAGCUUCCACAUGUUGCCAAGGAAGAGCAGAUUGGCAGUCAGAGUGCUCAGGUUUCCACCUCAAGUGUGACUGUUCAGCCACUGCCGCAAUGAAAAGCAAGUAUUUUAGUAUAAGGAAUUAUUUUUGAUGAGGAAACAUAGGAUUUCUGGUGAAAGCUCCUGUCUCAAUGAUCUAGUCUCAUUGCAUCUAUUAGAAAAAGAAGGAAUUUGAGGGAAUUUUGUUAUUGUUUUGCUGGGGAGAGUAACUGGAACCUCUGGAGGUCAGACUGUUUCUAACUGGACUUUCUGUGUUGCUAUUUGGUGCCUCAUGCCUUUUUGGGUGGUGGCACAUGUAGUCUGUGCAAGAGAAAAGCUCAUGAUCUAACUGUGGUGGGGACCUAGUUCCUGGCAAUACUCUAUUUUGGCUUCUUUGAAAGAAUGACUCAUAAAGUUCUGGCAUACUUGUAAGUCUAAAAUAAAGAAGUGUCAUUUGAAGAUCUGUUUCCUCUUUUAUUCAGAAAAAAAAUGAAUGAUGCCUGCAGAUGCUGUCAGUCACUCGGUGAAAAAAAAUAGUAGCAAUGAAAUGAAGCAACGGGGAGGUCUAAGUAGCAGUUCCUGAAAAUGGGACUGUCCUCCUGCUGAAAGACAACACAAAACUAUAAAGCAAAUAGUUAGGCUUGAGGUCAUUAUUGACUGUGUGGGGCAGUGUCAGGAGUCCCAGGUGCUGUGUGAAGUGUACAAACACAGCCUGCAGACACUGAAUGGCAUAGGACCUGCAGGCUCCCUCCCCUUUUCCUGCCACGUGUGAAUCAUGGGAGAGCAGAUGACAAAGAAAUAGGUGGAAACACUGAGCUUCUCUUUGGUUUUCUCCCACUUCCUUAUAACACGUGGCAUGAGAGAUUGGUGUGGUUUUCAUUUGGUUUCCUAAGGAAACAAGGCUUGUGAUCAUACUCUUUCUGUCUGUGUGUCUCUUCUAUUAACUUUUGAAGCCAUUAGCCAGUUUCAGCCCAAUGUGACAACAAGGUAGUGGUUUCACAGACUGGAUUCUUCAGUUUUCUAGAAAAUCAGUGAUCUGCUGGAGGACCCUCUUCCUCUUCUGCUCAUGAGAUCAUCCAGUCGAUGAACCAUCCUCUUAACUGCUGCAGAGGGAGUCUAGAUGGGAGGAGGUCACCAGUGGCUCAAGCAAUAGGGGAAAUUCUUCAAAAAUACCACAGCAAAUACCAUCUCUAUCUCCAUCCAGAUGUUGGAAUCCUCCAGCACGAUUUACCAGUCCUGUAGUAAUUAAACAGAAGGAGCAUUUGCAAUCAUUGUUAUUAUCUUCAGAGCUGAUACCAGCUUGUGUGAGGCUGGAGUUCGUUGUAUCUUACUGUGUCUUAUUUCAGACUAUCUGCAGAUGCAGGCAAGUGAUCCUGUUCAGCUAAGUGAUAUUUACAGUGAAUUAUUUUCUCAUAGAUGGAAAUUUAGAUUGUAUCCAUGAUCCUCCUCCACAGCUGCUUCUUUCCCACUUUGACUGUGCUAUUUCCAACCUCUAAUCUAUCUCCUUCCAUGUAAUCAUAGAAUCAUAAUUUAUUAAUCCUACAUUCUCUCCACAGAAGAGCCAGGUGAGGCUGAAGAGGUGCUGGCUGGUCUUAGAAUAGUUUCUCCUGCCCUGAGCCACAUCAGCCCAUUCUGUGAUGCUUAAACUCCUCCAUCAGGCAGAUUUCAUAAAUCAGCAAUAUCCAUAUUUUACAGAGGAGAAAACUGAGGCAGUGAGUGUUUUGCUGGAGGCCAGAUAAGGAAUUUGGGAAAGUUAAAAUGCCAUCCUUCUUAGUGGCCUUCUUUCAGGUGUUGUGUAUAUAGGAAUAUGCUUUGAAAUAGGAACAUUUACUCCUGAUCUUAUCAAACUGAGGCAGACACUGUAUUUAUCUCUUCAUAUUAUUGCCUGUGUCAUAGUUCCAUUAUCAAAAGCUGAUUAAUCCCCAGCCCUGUCUGAACUGCAGCUGACAUUAUGUGCAGGCCCGUAGAGUAUUUCCAUCUCUACCUGGCACUAAGCAGAUGAGUUUAUCCACUUCCUAUAUUCAUCCCUGGUCCUACUUUGGGGUGAGAGGUGAGAAAAUUUAAGUGGUUUUCUGAGAUCACUUCCAGCCCUGUUGCCUGUGUUUCUGUUAAUGGUGCUGGCAUGCCAACUCUUUGCAACUUUAAAUAGGGAAUGGAAACCCUGGAAAAUGUGAAACCAAUUACCCAGCUAUCUUGUCCUGCCUUUGAGGCUGGCAUGAAUGGCUGCAACAUAUGGACAGAAAGGAUAAUAGCUCACAUUUUGAGAGGUCCUAUCCUGGGCUAAUCCUCAUACUCUGUCAGUUACCAGGGUGUACCAAUUUUAGUUGUUAUGAAGUUAGUGCAAGACAGGCUUGAUUUUCUUACUACUUGAAAGUGGCAGCAGGUCUGCCACUGCGCUGACCAGAAGUUUCCCUCUGGACUUAUUUAAUUUCAUCUUCCUGCAAUGGAAAAUUGGUUUUCUUCAAAAUCAGUAUUUUCAGGAGAAAAAUGUCCAUUGCUGCAAAAUAUUGAUUUUUCCCUCAAAGUUGGGCACGAGCACAGGGCAGAUUUCUGUUUUAAAAGUGUAGUCACUGCAGAAUAGCAAGAAGCAAUAUAAUUUUCCUUUUUAUAUAUAUAUAUAAAUGUAAAUUUUUUUAAUAUUAUUUCAUCCUUUGUUCUGCUGUAGAUGGAAGGGGGAAGCAGGUGUUCUUCAGCUGGCUGUGUACCCUAGAGAGUAUCUCCCAACCACCUGAGAAGUGCACAUACAAAUGCAAAGCAGCAAUUGGAGAAGGACAUCAGGGGAAGACUGCAAGACUGGGAAUGCCAUCAAAGUAGGACACACAGGAAAGCUGAUACAUGCCUCCUCUUUCAAGACUCGGAGCUUGAUUGCUGUGGCUUCUCUCCCACUCGGUGACCCUGGGUAACUAAUCGGCAAUUUGUUGAUGAGAUGGGACUUGCUGUGUAGGGCUCCUGAGCUGAGGAAAGGGAUGUGCUUGGAGCCUUGGAGCAUGCCCCCGCAGCAGGUGAGCUGAUGUGAUGACGACUGGAUAUCUGAGACACCAGCAGCGCUGUUGAUGGUUUCAUUGGCAUGAUCAAGCAUGGUAAGUGGAUGUUUCCUGCAGGUUCUGCUGUUGCCUCCAUGCGGGCAUGGUUAUUUUAGAAGCUUUAAAAUAAAGAUUUUAAGGAAUGCAUCUUACCCUAGCUCCUACCCUGAGAGAUCAGAAAUCUGGGAUAGAUGGAGGUGAAGUGGUAGAAAAAGGUUGCACUCUCCUGGGUGAACCAAGUGGGAAUUAAGCCAUUCAGGCUGUAGUUUCAGCCUUGCACUGACUUCUUUUUGUCAUCUUUGGCAAAUCACCUUUCUGUGCUUCUGUUUCAGCUGUCUUACCUACUUGUAAAUUUUGCAGAGCAACGAUUGACAGGAUGACCCAGCAAAACCAGAGAGGUCAAUAAAGAAAUGCCAGUUGUUACA